ACGGGAGGCAGCAGUGGGGAAUAUUGCACAAUGGGCGCAAGCCUGAUGCAGCGAUGCCGCGUGAGGGAAGGAGGUUUUCGGAUUGUAAACCUCUGUCAACAGGGACGAAAAUGACGGUACCUGUGAAGGAAGCUCCGGCUAACUACGUGCCAGCAGCCGCGGUAAUACGUAGGGAGCGAGCGUUGUCCGGAAUUACUGGGUGUAAAGGGUGCGUAGGCGGGACGGCAAGUCAGAUGUGAAAUGUAUGGGCUUAACCCAUAACCUGCAUUUGAAACUGUUGUUCUUGAGUGAGGUAGAGGUAAGCGGAAUUCCUAGUGUAGCGGUGAAAUGCGUAGAUAUUAGGAGGAACAUCGGUGGCGAAGGCGGCUUACUGGGCCUUUACUGACGCUGAGGCACGAAAGCGUGGGGAGCAAACAGGAUUAGAUACCCUGGUA
rnacentral:rRNA from 1 species